rnacentral:rRNA from 1 species
CCUACGGGUGGCUGCAGUGAGGAAUAUUGGUCAAUGGGCUUACGCCUGAACCAGCCAAGUCGCGUGAGGGAAGACUGCCCUAUGGGUUGUAAACCUCUUUUGUCAGGGAGCAACGCCGGCUACGUGUAGCCGGACUGAGAGUACCUGAAGAAAAAGCAUCGGCUAACUCCGUGCCAGCAGCCGCGGUAAUACGGAGGAUGCGAGCGUUAUCCGGAUUUACUGGGUGUAAAGGGGGCGCAGACGGCGAUGCAAGCCAGGAGUGAAAGCCCGGGGCCCAACCCCGGGACUGCUCUUGGAACUGCGGGGCUGGAGUGCAGGAGGGGCAGGCGGAAUUCCUGGUGUAGCGGUGAAAUGCGUAGAUAUCAGGAGGAACACCGGUGGCGAAGGCGGCCUGCUGGACUGCAACUGACGUUGAGGCCCGAAAGCGUGGGGAGCAAACAGGAUUAGAUACCCUUGUAGUC